UCUCCCAGUGGGAAGCCCUGAAGAACAUUCUGCUGUUUAAUGAGGAGAGUAUUUCAGAACUGCUCGUUCCUUGUCAGCCUGGGGCAGCUUCGGGGCUGGGAAUCUGGAGCUCUCUUGAGGCAUUGCUCAGGAAUACAAAGAUGGGUGGCACUUACUAAGGGUGCAUUUCUCAUGUCCAUGGGAAUUAGCAGAUAUGAAGUAAUGACACAUUAUAGGGCUCUGUAGGUGACCGCUCCUGCUGGAGAGAGCAGUGCCACAGCACCGAGGGCACUGGCACCAUCACUGCACAACAGAGAGAACAUCAUCAAUCUCUCCCAGGGAAAAGCUCACUGCGUGUUUCUGGAGCUCUGCAGGGUCCUGUUGGUGACUCCACCCAUAGGCAGAACUCAGUUUCUCUUGUGGUCUCAGCACAAUGGAGAAUGGAAUGGACACCCUGACUGUGAAGGGUUGCUGCAGCAAGACUUCUGGGCUCUUCAGAAAUUACCCGAGACAAACAGGUUGAUUCCAGUCAGAGUUCCAAAAAGCCAGGCCAGUACCUUCAACACCUAUGACCAUAUCUGCUCUCCCACGGUAACGGAGGGAAGCUUUGAGAGAUGUCUGUAGCUUCAAGAUUUCUGAAGGGAAAGAUCUUCCUUGGAAACUACAUUGAAAGGAGCUGGCAAAGUUCCUGGUAAGAACUUAGCCUUUUCUCCAUCUGUCAAAACAAGGCAUAAUCCUUCCCUGCUUCACAACAGUCUUGGGAGGAAUCAUCAGUUAACAAGUUUAAAACACUAAAAGUGAUUUCCUAUUAUAAACCACCUAGGCUUCAGUUCUUAUGAACACAAACUCAUCUCACCCUUCUUAAAGAUCUUCUCCCUCUUUUCACACAUCUGUAUUCUUCUUUGCAUUCUGCUAUUGCAAAGUGUAAUUGCUGCUAGCAUUGCUUUUAUACACCUGAGAGCAGUUUUAACUAUCACAUUAUAUUUUU